AUGUCUGAGGGCGGGGCUAGAAUGUUAUAAAAACAUGUUAUCUCCAGUUUGCCUUAGUCAAGCUCAGCCGGCUACAGAGAACAGAACUUCUUUCAAAGAGCGUUCAAGAGAAAUUCUACUUAAGGUAUAGUCCCCAUCCUCCAAGCUACUGCCACACGAUGAACUCAAGAAUGUUUGUUGUCGGUCUCCUUGUUGCCUUGGUGAUCUGUGCAAACUUACCCACCUCAGACGGGCUACCAGGUGGUAGACGCCGCGACUACAGGCGCCGCCGAAGCCUGACCAACAAUAAGUUCAAGAAAAGCGCUGUCGUCCCAAAGAUGAAGACGAACACGGAUUUCGACGAAUUAAUUAACCAUUUGAAGGCAUUAAAUGAGGACAACGACAGGCCGUUCAAGUAGAAUAGAGCCGAAGCACCGGUUAAACCAAGCUACAAUGUAGCAAUGUUUAUUAGAAUAACGUUACACAAUGAGAUUUCUUAAAAUUGUACGUUUUGCAAUACAAUGGAUAUCAGAAACUUGUAUGCUUCUUGAUAAAAUAGUUGACUGGAAUUGUAAUUAGAUAAUAGAUGGAUUAAGGUUAGCGCAAUCCAGCACAAGUUGUCUCAAGUUUUGUAAAGUGGUCAAACACUAACGCGAAGGCAAAAUGAAAAUAAAAACUAGCCCGAGUUGAUGUAAAUGUAAAA